rnacentral:rRNA from 1 species
AUCACAAAUCACAAAAGUGCUUAUUGUGAUCAUGUAAGGGAAAAAAUUGAUAUCACCUUACUAUAAGUGUUGUCUAAAUAACUGGUGCCAGAAGACUCGGUAACACCAGAAACGCGAACGUUAGUCGUCUUAAACAGGCGUAAAGGGUAAGUAGGCUGCUUUAAAUAUCUAUUAAAAAAAAAAAAGCUAAUUAAUAAAUUAACCUAAAUUUUUUCAGACCUGAAAUUAUAAUUUAAGGCUAACUAAUAAUGAAAAAGGUAAUUAUUAAAAAAAGAUAGAUACACUUAAAGCUAGAAUCAUAAUUGAGAUAAACCAAAUAAUACUUAUGUGUAAGGGCGAUAUCUGAAAAUACUAAGUAGAAUACUAACGGUGAAAACUUUUUAUCUAGGAAUGAUUGACGCUGAGGUACGAAAGUGAGAACAGGGAAUAGGAUUAGAUACCCAGUUACCUCUCACCGUCAACGAUGAAUGGUAGUUGUUAGUUUAAUUAAAUUAGUGACGAUGUUAACGCGAUAACCAUUCCGCCCUGAGUCGUG